CUGGGGGAACGUGGAGAAGGUGGGUAGCGAGGGCUCCAGGGGCUCAGAAGGUGGCCUCGAGGGGCUCUCAUCUGCCAUCCUUGUGAGGGAGAAAGUCCUAAACCAGUCGUAACAUUGCCAGAACAAGGGGUCCCAAUCCAGACCUCCAAAGAGGGUGCUUGGAUCUCUCAUGGGAAGGAAUUCAAGAAGCCAUCAAACUCCAAAUGGUCAGGCAACUGGAGCCUCAGAUGAUAGCUCCCCUUUGCUAGGAACCCUUAAAUAGACCUCUGGGAGGACUCUGACUGCCAUUUUCUCCAAAACAACACCCCUUGUCAGCAGGAAGCAGCAAGACUGGUCAUCAACCAUAUUCUAACGGCAGUAUUCCUAUGAUUUAGCCAGUGGGCCGUGACCGGCAAGGAAUGUGCCUUGUUAGUUUCAAGAUGGAGUUGAUUUUUAAAAUCAUGUCACCCUGGCUCUUCUAUGCUCCUGUUCCCCUAACAGUAAUAGCCCAGCCAUUCUCUGCCAUGUUUUCCUCUGCCCCCAGCUUCCGAAUGAAGUCAAUUUUUAUUUCUUCAACGUACCUCUUCAGAGGGGAAAUUAUACAGGAGGGGGGCAGGGAAGUGCUGGGUAGAGAAAGGUGGAUCCCCAGCUAGGGUUCCACCCCCACAGACCUAGGUGAGGAAAGGCACUUCUGGCUUCACACCCAAAUGUUGCAUUUUCGAAGACCAACCUGGCCUGCCAUGCCCCCAUUCUGGGCCUAUAAAAACCCACCACCCUAGCGGACAGACACACAGGUGGCCAGACGUCAAGAACAGCACAUCAGCAGUUGAAGACACAAAAGGGUGGACGACAAGAAGGCAUCACAAGAGAACGUCAAGGGAGCACGCCGAUGGAAGAACCUGCUGGCAGGCUAUCCACUGUUGGCAUGAGGGGGAGUUUGGCUGGGGCAGUCAGAGAAGAGCCCGGCUGCAUAGCGGCCCAAUUCCAGGGGAAAACCAUCUCUCUUUUGGCUCCCCCGGCAGAGAGCUACUUCUGCUCAAUAAAACUUGGCUUUUAUUCACCAAGC
rnacentral:lncRNA from 10 species